GCGGAGGGCAGUGGAGCUAUUCUGCCCUUAUGCUCCCGCGAUAGUGAUGCCCCUGGUUUGGUAAUGGGGGAAGAAUCAUGUGCACCACCUUCUUGGUCCUCAGCACCUUGGCAUUUCUGCUGCGCCGGCGCUUCUUCAACAAAGUCGAACCGUAUGUCCUUCCUCCCUUCUUGUACUGUAGAGAAGCUAGGGUAGUAGAUGGUCAGAUCUCAGGGAGAGUGUCUGUAGGAAGGAUGCCUGGCUCGUAGCGAUAUGUGCCUCUCUUGUGCUUUUGUUUUGCUCUGAUAAUUGCUCUGUGACUACAAAGAGGACUGAUUCACAAGUUUUUAAUUUAAACUUUCCUUUUUACCUCUGUAUCCUGUUUGUUGAGGCUGCAGUCUUAGCCCCACUUACCAGGUGGAGUAAGCCCCACUGCAGCUAAAAUUAUUCUGUUUAUUGUGGAGCUUCCCUCAAUCAUAGAAGGAUCACAUUGUAUGUUGCCCCUAUUUGAAGGAUCUCACUCACAUGAGUAAAAGGUCAGUGAGAUGUGGGAAUAAUUCCGCCAGAAAGGAUAUCUGUGUGGCUGUUAUGUAACACAUCUGAAACUGAAUCCAGGUUCUACUGCCCUGGGGGGACUCAGUGGCAGGGGUCCUGUGGAAAUUUGUCCCCAGCCCACCACACCCCGACUUUAAAUUCAUAGGAUCAAGAUCUUGAAUUUCCUGGUGGGCAUUCUAAACAAACUUUGGUCUGUUGGUUCAGGACUGUAUUAUCCACCACCUUUGGGUCCUUUUCAUGAGAGUGUAGGUUAUGCCUUUCGUUUCAUUUCAAAAACACGUGGAACAAAGAAGUUAGGAAGAGACAUUAAGGUGAACAGUUUGACCGCAAAGCAUCUUUACACCCUUGCACCGGUCAAUAAAAAAUAUGAUUCGAUUUUUCUUUGCUUAUAAAUAAUGUGAAUUGGACUGGAGGAGAAAUAGCACCGUUUGAGCAAGGCUGGAUGUGGUACUCUAUGGAUGAAGACACUUAAUCGCCCCAUACCUAAGAUGGAAUGUUCCGCAAGGCCUUUCCUCCUGUGCCAAAACAUCAAGUAAAACCCUCCAGAUCCCACUAAAGAUAGCAAGGCCUUAGAGUUCUCUGUCAGGCCGGAGGAACACAUCCUAAAAUGGGCCUCCACUUUUAAGUAGUUACCUUCCAAGAUUCUUCAGCGGCUGGCAGACCUUGCCUUUUCAGUAAGAGAUGGGGGUUUAUUUAUUUAUUUUGCCUUGUUUCAAUUGUAUGUAUUUACUUUCAAAUAUAUAAUCAGCCUUUCCAACGUAAUUUGAGCCUCAGGUCUUCAUGCCACACAGUAAUGAAUAGUAUAUAUUGCGUCCUCUUCAGGAUCCCAACCACUGUGUUCUAUUGCCCACUCCCAAUUUUCCAUUUCCGCCCCCCUCCACUGGCAGAGGAAGGGGAUGAGGGGUGUGUGGACCUCCCCAGGUGUCAUCCCUGAGGGGGGUGACAUCGCUCCCCCGCCCCCCUGGGAUGCUCGUGGCCCCCCCCCCCGGCAGAUUGCCCUGCCCCCAGGUUCACAGCAUGUGACCCCUCCGGGGGCUGGAUCAGCUAGCUCCGCCUCUGCCCCCCUCCCCAGUCAAAUCAGUGUCUUGUGCCCACUGACAUUGCUCAGUCCUCUGUUUUGGAACAUUGCUCCAGUUUUUCUUUCUUUUUUACAAAAGCUUGGAAUUCCUACAAGCCUGCUGAUAUGGCCUUCUUCUGCAUAGAUGCCAUUUUGGCUGCAUGAAGAUGAGAUCUCAGAGAACUGGGUUUGCUAUUAGUAAAUCAUUUUGCAAGUCAAAGGAGGGACAGGAUAGGGAAAUGUGCCAAUUGUUGAAUUAAUCCUUUUUUUUCUUUUUCAAGCUUAUUUACCUCCUAGUAACCUUGUACCUAGCAUCACUUAGGAAUUUCAGGAAUUCUAAGAAGCCGAAAAACCAAAGCAGUUUUAUAAUCGAUGGUUAAAAACACUGUAGUUUUGAAAUGUUUGGUCCACCAUCUUGAUUCAAAAUGGCAUCCAAACAUAGGCAAAACCUGGCUCCUCAAACACAGGAAUCAUCAUGCAAAAUUUGGCUAAAAGCAGUGCUGUUUUGAAAGGUCCACUCCACCUUUUUGAUUCAAAUUGGCAUUCAGUUGUCUCCAAACACAGAUGAAAAUCUGCUCCUUGAUAUCAGGAAACACCCUGCAGAAUUUGUUUACGAUAUCUUAAGAGGUUUCCAAGUGCAGGGCAAAGAAGCAAUGUUUCAUUAUAAUAGAUUUUAUUUCGGUUCGCUGGGAUGUAUCAUUACAAGAUUUCAAUAUUCCCAGGAAAAAAGAACAGAUCCAUUAAAAGCACAUUUAAAUUACAUUUCCCCAUCCCCAAAGAAUCCUGGGAACUGUAAUUUGUUAAGUGUGCUGGGAAGUGCAACUCUGUGAGGAAAAAACUAUGAUUCCCAAGGAUCUUUGGCGGGUGGUUAAGUGUGUUUAAAAUGUCUGGUGUGUAUGCAGCCUAGAUUGGAGCUGGGGAGGCUGUGGCCCACUAAAUGUUCUUGGACUCCAACUCCCAUCAGACAUAGACAGCAUGGCCAAUUGUCAGGGAUGAUGGGAGUUGUAGUCCAUCAAAUUCUGGAAGCCGCCUGCUUCCCCCCCCCGUGGGCAGGAAGAAGUAGCACAAAAUGCUGUGUAAUUUUCUUAAAAUUCUCCCUUGUAGUUCUAACUUUGGUAUCUUAGGUCAGCAGUCAUCCUCUGAAGAACCUGACAACCAAAGUCUCCCUUGCACAUUGUACAGACAGGAAGGAUGUAGGAAGUGGUGUCCCCAAAGACCUAUGCUUUUCAACUUGUUCAUAUAUCACCUGGAUGAGCACUGAGAGAAUCAAAUUUGCUCAAGGCAGAACACCCACCCCCCAAAUAAAUAAAUAAAUAAAACCAGAAUAAUUGCAAAGAGCUCCAAAAGGAUCUUUCCAAACUGGAAAUAAAGGUAAAGGUAAAGCGACCCCUCACCGUUAAGUCCAGUCGUCGUCAACUCUGGGGUUGCAGUGGUCAUCUCCCUUUAUUGGCCGAGGGAGCCGGCGUACAGCUUCCGGGUCAUGUGGCCAGCAUGACUAAGCCACUUCUGGCAAACCAGAGCAGCACACAGAAACGCCAUUUACCUUCCCGCUGGAGCGGUACCUAUUUAUCUACUUGCACUUUGACGUGCUUUCAAACUGCUAGGUUGACAGGAGCAGGGUCCAAACAGAGGGAGCUCACCCCGUCACAGGGAUUCGAACCGCUGACCUUCUGAUCGGCAAGCCCUAGGCUCUGUGGUUUAGACCACAGCGCCAAUACAUUGGGGUGAAAUGGUAGCCUUUCAAUUCCCCCAAAGAAAGUAAGUGGUGGUGGCUUUUCUUAUUAUAAAAUGAUAUUGGGGAGUUAAGGCUGCCAUAUCACAGCUGCAUGGAUGUUUUGGGUUGUUUUUCUUUUAAGUUUUGCAUUUGAUCAAAAGCUUUGUAUCUCAAUGGUCUAUGUCAAUAUUUUGGAUAAUGUGUUAUCCACAUGCUCUCUGUAAGGUCACAUAUGCAAGAUAAUUGACCAUUUUGUUUAUAGUGAAAUAAUUUUUUUAAAAAAAUCUAUUAGGACAAAAUAUACUUACUUGACAUAUACCCGAAUUGGGUCUGAACCGGCAGUGAUUAAUCAACACUGAGACCUUGAGGUCAUAGUGAAUAGCUUGAUUCCAUAUUAGGGAUCAUUAGGAAAAGAAUUGAAACGGAAACUAUCCAUGUCAUAAUGACAUUAUAUAAAUUUGUGGCGCAAACCACACUUGGAAUACUACAGUUCUGAUUGCUGAACCUCAGAAAGGAUAUUGUAGAGCGGGAAAAGGGUUCAGAAAAGUGUGACCAAAAUCAUCAAGGGGCUGGAGCAAUUCCCCUAUGAGGAAAGGUUAAAAUGUUUUAGGACUUUUAUGCAUGAUGCAGAAAAGGGGGGUAGAGGGUUUUUUUCUCCUUGUCUCAUAUUACAAGAAUUUGGGGGCCAUCCAAAGAAGAUGGACAAUUCAAGACAGACAAAAGAAACACAUAGUCGAGCUAUGGAAUUAGAUCCCACCAGAUGAGAUGGCCAGCAACUUAGGUUUUGAAAGAAGAUUAGACAAAUUCAUGGAAGAGAAGUCUAUCAACGGCUACUAGGCAGGUGACUAUAUUGUACCUCCACUGGCAGAGGCAGUGUGCAUCUCUGCAAAGCAGUUGAUGGGCAUUACAAGUGGGGAGAGUGCUUCUGGACUCGCUUGCAGGCUUCCCACAGGCAUCAGAUUGGCCACUAUGAGGACAUGAUGCUGGACUCAGUGGGCCUUAAGGAUGAUCCAGCCAUAGGCUCUUGCUAUGUUCUUAAUCUGGCUUUUAGAAUAGAGCAGGGCUUAUUAAAUUUGUGCCUGUGGGCACAAUGGUGCUCAUGAUAUUUUCUCUUAGCGCACAUGAAAGCUCUGAGCCCCCACAACACUGCCCCCUUGGUCAUGAGGCAGCGAGGGUGGCUAUAUUUGUCUCCCUUGGAACGUGUGUAGAGAUGAAGGAGGAAGUUGGAAGAGUGAUGUUCUUUCCCACUUCUUCUUUCAGGUCUGUGUGGGUUUUACUCGGCUGAAAGACACAUGUUAAAAGGAAACAAUUAUCUAAGGGCCUCUAGGUAUCGUCUUUAUUACACAGUCAGGAUUAGUUGUUCUGAUGCUGCUGUUUGGGUCAUCACAUGCAAUCCUGCUCUCAGUAUGGUUUGUCACAUUGCCAGUGUGGUGUAGUGGUUAAGAGCGAUAGACUCGUAAUCUGGGGAACCGGGUUCGCUUCCCCGCUCCUCCACAUGCAGCUGCUGGGUGACCUUGGGCCAGUCACACUUCUUUGAAGUCUCUCAGCCCCACUCACCUCACAGAGUGUUUGUUGUGGGGGAGGAAGGGAAAGGAGAAUGUUAGCCGUUUUGAGACUCCUUUGGGUAGUGAUAAAGCGGGAUAUCAAAGCCAAACUCUUCUUCUUCUCCACUUCGAAUCAGUGCAUAGCUCGUUGCAUCCUGCUGAAAUCCCACAACAUUUUAUACACCACAAAUAUUCUAGUUUGUUUUCUUUUCUUUUCUGCUUUUAUUGUGCUAUAGCCCUCAGGAUAGCAAUAUGUGGUAACACUGGCAUCAAAGAACGAAGCAAAGCAGAAUAAAACUACCAGUAAUGCACUAGCAAUGUAUCAAUAACAUGUUGCAGAAUAUACCUGCAACAAAACACCAGUCUGGAGGGGCCCUAAAUCCAGCACAGCCUACUUAAAAAGCAACAACAACCAAAGCCACAUUCUGUUAUUUCGGUGCACUGCGACAUUGCGGAAUACAACCCUGGUUACAAGGCGCCUCUGCAGAGAGUGCAGCUGUUCUCUGCAAACAAGAGUCUCUCAGCUCAGGGACAUGCAAAUCUAUUUUUCAGCCAAGCCUGGAGUCUGGCUGAAAGUGGGUAGGUGAAAUUGACAUUUAAAGAGCCGUAAUACCUCAGCCAAUUAUCAUCCAAAAUUGGGUAUAGUUGAGCUCAGUUGCAUAGAUGAGAUGAUAGCAUGUUCCCUUCAAAGGGAAAUUAAGGUGCAGCCGCCAUUUGUGUUUCACAGAUUAACAAGCGAGAGGUUAAUUUGGGGUUUUUCAGUUUGCGUGUAUCAACAAAAUUGGUCAACCAGGAGGUCACAGUGGUACUUCGGGUUACAUACGCUUCAGAUUACAUACGCUUCGGAUUACAUACUCCGCUAACACAGAAAUAGUACCUCGGGUUAAGAACUUUGCUUCAGGAUGAGAACAGAAAUCAUGCUCUGGUGUCGCGGCAGCAGCGGGAGGCCCCAUUAGCUAAAGUGGUGCUUCAAGUUAAGAACAGUUUCAGGUUAAGAACGGACCUCCAGAACGAAUUACGUAAGUACUUAACCCGAGGUACCACUGUAUCAGUAUUCCUUGCAGUGCUGCGGCUAGUUAAAUAGCAAAGCCCACUGAAUAAGUUGUUACUUGGGAGUACUGGGAAAGGGGAGCGUAGAGCUGUACGGUGAAGCCAAGAAAGAGGGAAUUCAGUGUAGAGGAAAGGGUGGUGGAACAUCUGCUUUGCAUGCAGAAAGUCCCAGGAUAAGUCCCUGGCAUCUUCAGGCAGGGCUUGGGAGAGAUGCCCUGGCUGAAACCCUGAAGAGCUGCCGUCAGUCAGCAUGCAGACAAUACUGAGCUACAUGGACUGAUGGUUUGACAGUGUAAGGCGCUUCCCUAUGUUCCUAUAUGGGCCUGUAGCUCAUGAGGAGGCCUUAUGUGCACUUUUCCAUCCUUCUCUCUUUGUGUGAGCUUCCACAAAUAGUUUGCAGGGUAGCUGUGAUGGGUGUUAGCAGCAGCUAGCAUUGGAACUUUAUCAAGUUGGAUGUGUGUUCACAUCAGAGAUCGCAGAUUGUUUCUGGUUGCUUCUUUCCCCCUUUUUAUUAUCUAUUAUUAUUUCUUGAUUUUUUCAAAAUUCUCUCUCCCCAAGAACUCAAUAUACAUGGUGGGGUCUGGUCCUAGAGAUUUGGGGAGCUGCAGAUUAAGCCAAAUACAGUUUCUGUACAGAGCCUAGAAAUCUCUGUUUUCAUUCUCUCUCUUUAAAGGAAUUCCUGGUCGAAGCCCAAAUAUAUCUUGUGGGUGGCUAGAAUCCAGUCCCCUGCCCCCACCAGACCAAAAAGAGAGUGCAUUUUGGGGAAAUCCAGCAUGUUGGAAAUAUUUUUAUUCAGAAAGCCCUUUUAUUUUUAUGAACAGUUUCUUUUCUAAUUUUAAAAGCUGGCUUAUACGUGUAUAGGUGUGUAUAUUAAGAAGUAAUUAAACGGAGUUCAGUAUGCAGUGAGUCCCCAGCAGAUUCCCCCAAGACAAAGCUGCUUCCAGGCAAUCUGUUCAUUGAGUCUUCCUCCUGAUCUGUUUUGCUAGGAGAUUAGGCAACAGUAGCUAUUUAAUGGGCAUUUACUUUCGUUUGCAGCAAAAAAUGUCACCCACCCUUUGAAGUGCAUUUUCUCUUGGUCAUUUCCUGUUUUUCUUUUUGUAUGCCGCUUUGGGAACCAGGUGGUGGAAAUAGGAGUUAUACAUCUUGAAAAUAAAUAAUGAACUUCCGCCAGCAUUUUAGAUCUGAGUUGCCAGGCUCAAUCAUAAAAAUGGGCCGGCAGAACAUGUGCAGGCAAUGUAUCCAAGCCUCAGAAGCAGAACUAGGAAUAGCAUCUCACUGUUGCCGACACACUAAUGUGUUUUUCAUCUGUAUGAAGCGCAGCCCGCUAUCAGUCACACAGUCAAGAGGCAUAUUUCUGAAAGAUGAGCAGGCAGCCAAGCACAUCUCCUAUUAAGCGAAGAGUGAUGUAACAUAGAGCAGUGAUCCCUCUGCAACAUAAAUGCCUGAGCUUCUUUUGUUGCUGGUACAUAACAGAAAAGCGGCAAGUAGCACUUCAGUCAAAGGAAGACUGAUGAGCAUCAUUUCAACAAGCGGAAGGGCAAUUAGGGGACAUCAAGAUUCUCUUGUACAUUUGACCCUCUUCAGAUCCUGCGGUCUUUUUAUAUCAUGUCGGCCUUGGGUGUUUCUCAUGGACUUGGCAUCAGGUCUCAAAUUUCUUUAAUGCACACAGAGAAUGUCUGGAGCUUCAGACAUUAGAGGAGAGGCUCAAAAACAGCUGUUUGAUAGCCAGGUAAAAUAACUUCUAUAUAUCUAUAAAAGCCUGCUCUCACGGUACUGCUACACUCUUUCAACAGAAAUAAAGGCAAAAGAGAGUUAUUCAGAAAGGACCAGGCUAAAUUCUCUGCGGCUCCUAUGGGGUUCUGUGGAAUGAAGUUUGCAAUCAGGGACGCAGCUGAGAGGGGUAAAAGUUGCCCCUUCAUCUCAUUACUAGGGUUACUAGGAUUACUAGGUUCAAAUCCCUGCGACAGGGUGAGCUCCCGUUGCUCUGUCCCAGCUCCUGCCAACCUAGCAGUUUGAAAGCAUACCAGUGCAAGUAGAUAAAUAGGUACCGCUGCGGCGGGAAGGUAAAUGGCGUUUCCGUGCACUCUAAUUAACGUUACGGUGUUCCGUUGCACCAGAAGCAGUUUAGUCAUGCUGGCCGCAUGACCCGGAAAGCUGUCUGUGGACAAAUGCUGGCUCCCUCGGCCUGAAAGCAAGAUGAGCGCCGCAACCCCAUAGUCGCCUUUGACUGGACUUAACCAUCCAGGGGCCCUUUACCUUUUACCUACCUUUACUAGGGACAGCAAUCAGGUUUUUCCUGUUUCCCGUUGGUGCCACCCAGGAUUCUACUUUGUUUUCUUAUUCUCCUUGGUGGAAGAAAUCACUGCCAUUCACUCUUAAUGAGGAAAAUUAAAGCACUGCAUUGGCAGACACUGUUGCAAUGAGGGCAAUAACUGUCCUUAACCCCUGGCAUGAGACUCAUCUUUUCAGCUGUUAAUCGUGUUAUAGGAAUCCUAAGGUCUUAUACAUAUAUAGAAUAAAUGUUCAUAAAUGUACAAGGCAAACACACAUGCAUAAGUAUAGUGUCUGAAACAGUGCAGGAGAGCAAUCCUGAAGCCAUUUUGACUCUCCCAAAUUGACUUCAAAUAUUUCUCUGCAAGGAGAAAGGAAAUGGGAAAAGCUUUCCAGUUGUCUUUGGACUGUAGGGGCUUACACCUCCGUUUGCAAAUACAGUCUGGCAAGCAUCUGUUAAGCUGAGCAAACUAUCAACAUAUUAUCAUAAUAUAAUAAUAAUACAAUUUUUAUAUCCCGCCCUCCCCAGCCGAAGCUGGGCUCAGAGCGGCUAGCAACAGUAAAAAUAACACAGUUUACAUAAAAUCACAAUCAGUUAAUUGAAAUACAUUCUAAAAUCAAUUCAUUCUAAAAUCAAUUCAGAGUCAAUAAGAAAAAACUGCUCCUUUAUCCCUUAUGGGGUAUCCAAGAGCCCAUAUAGAGUCCUUAUGUAGGUUCCCUAUUGGUAGGAGAAAAUAACAGAGGCCAACCCGAGAAUAUUGAGAAGCAAAGCAGCUGAUAAGCCUGAUCUUUAUUGAUCUGUUGCAAAAGGGUCCUCACUCACCACACGGAGGAGGGUAGAGGAACCCAGAACAAAGGUGUGCCUGCCCUUAUAUAGACAUUUUAAAUUCCCUGCCCUGGAGCUCAAGACCACCCCUCCAUACAUCAUACAUACAUCACAGAAGGGGUGUAACCUAAGACCACCCCCCAGAUACAUCAUACCUACAUCACAGAAAAGGCGGUCUACAGCAGAAAUCUAAGUGUGUUGUUUAUCUCGUCUGACAGGUUACCUGUUUAAUGGUCACUUGAUUAGAUUGCCUUGGGAGCCUGGCUAGUCUUUUGUAAUGAUAAAUACUUAGUUCCUGAGCCAGGUCACAGGCUCACACCCUAUUCAUAUCUUAAAUGUGCCCUUAAGACAGGAUUUGAGAAGGAACCGACAAUGGGGAGGCUUUUCCAUUUUCCUUUGACCUUGCAGAGAAAACAUUUGCUCAGUCUGGGAAUCAAAAUGGUUUCAGGUCGGUCUUCCUGUGCUGAUCUAUGUAUGUGCUUGGUUGGUACACUUAUGAACAUUUAACGUAUAUCUAAGACCUCAAAAUUCCUAUCACAAUAGGGAGUCUCAGCAACAAAUAUUUGUGAGCAUCCACCAUUAUAGAAGAUACUAGGAAGGAUGCUGCCUUUGAAAUGUCAAAUCUCUUUUCUAUAUGAACAGUUAAGAAUGUAUAAGGAGAACAGAACAGAACUGCUAUUAUAAAUAACUGUUCUUGAAGUAAAGCAAGCUGGCAGACUAAAUAUCUACAUUAAUCUCAGCACUAUAUCCUGUGGUAGGUGGAAUGUAAUAAUAAAAUGUCUGCUUUUGCACCAUGCAGAUUUUAAAAAAGCCUAUUUUCAGAAUGUAAUCUCUUAUUUGAAAUCAGAUAAUAACCCCUCUAGUUUGUCUGCAUAUCUGUUAGCAUUCUAGUUUAUUGCCUUAAGUUGGUAGGAACACCUUAGAUUUAUCAUUGAUUUUAAAUAAGAAACCUUAGCCACCCCUUUCAUUCAUCUUCACAGUAUCUCAUCUUCUGUGCAUUUUGCUCGGCAAAGAAACAAACAGCUGUAUAUUAUGUUCAGGGACAAAAUGUCAGUCAGAUGUUUUGCCCCACUAGCCAAAUACCUCAUCACUAUCCAUAGAAGUGAUACCUUUGUGUCCAGGGCACUUUUAGAAGGUAGGCUGGAGUCAGGUUACAGACUUUUCAGCAUGUUGAAGGUGAUAUCACAGAGGUAUUGUUGGCUGUGUUCUACACACUGAAUGACUCCCACUUAUAACUCUGGGAAAGAGGUUUUGAAGGUUUUUGCAGGCUUCCCCCCAAAACCCUGCAAAACCUGUUUGACCACAUAGGAAAUGUGUUUGUGGGGAUGAAUCAUCUAGCAAGGGCUAUGAUUCUUCUAUCAAACCUUGAAAUCUAUUUAGAAGUUUUCUUUAUAAUUAAGCGGCAUACAAAUGCUGUUAAAAAUACUUUCUUGGAAAGUACCCCUCCUUCUCCAGUCUUACAGUGUCUGCAAAGUUAUAUUUAUUUGUAUACUCUCUCUCUCUCUCUCUCUCUCUCUCUCUCUCUCUGUGCCACUUUUUGAGGCAAAAGCCUGCCUAAAAUGGCUUACAUAAGAAGAGAAACAUAACAUGACAAUAUCCCAUUUCAAUAAAAUGAAAUCAGUUAAAAGAGCAGUUUAAGAUAACUCACAAUUCACAAACCAUACCAGAAUGAGGUGAGAAACCUCCAGUGUAAAUAUUCCACUGAUGGUGAAAGGGAGUUAACCAUCUCUUUCAAAUAAAAAGUAUAAUAAUAAUAAUAAUAAUAAUAAUAAUAAUAAUAAUAAAUGUGUUAGGGAGUAUUGAGAAUCAAAGAUAAGAUUUGGUCAGCUUGACAUUCAAACUCCAAUUUUAGAAGGCAGCAGGGAAAAUCAGCUUCUACUUGUUAUCGGUUGUGUAUAAUCCGGAAAGCUCUCCCUUCUCCCAUCCUGUUUACAAUACAUAGCUAAUUGCUGAUCAUUCUGAUUUGUGUAUCCCCAAGUGCAGUAAGGGAAUUUCCAAGUUCCUGGCCAGACUUAACUCAAUAGUGACUCUUCCUGCAAUUAUUAAUCUGAAUGAGCAUGGGGAAUGGAAACCUCAGCCUGUUCUAAACUUUGUGGAUUGGCUUUUGUCACAAGCCCUGCCACUUCCCAGUUUCUAUGACUUUAUAUUUUAAUCCUCAAAAAGUUUGGAUUGGUUCAUAUCAUAUCAAGGCGAAAGUGGUUGUCCUUUUUGCAGUCUUAAUGCUGUAUCAGUUUUUUUAAAGGUACAACAAGACCAGCAGAUCCCUCCCACGGUGCUGAAUUUUACAUGGUGUGUGUAUAAGUUUACAUAUCUGGCCAACAGCAGCCCCAGGUCAGAGAUGACUGGGAAACCAUGUGGAUGUUGUGCCAUUUUGGACGUCUGAAAUUCCUUGAUCAAAGCACUUUAGGAACAUGUAAGCCUAUGAAGUCCUGCUUGGUUGUUCUACACAAGUGAAGCAGCGAAGAAAGAGACUCACUGCAGCCGUCCUUUGUUUGCUAAAUCUGAUGAUAUGGGCACUUUUGCUUGUUUCCUGCAAUAUAAUAUUGCAUUCCGUAAGAGUUUGUUUAAAGGAGAUCAUGGAAGAGAUUUAGGUUUUAUGAAAGAGACUGUCUAGAUUGCUACAGUAUGCAAAGAAAAGAACUUUAUCUCCAGAGUGUCCCCACCACACUGUGGCACGUGAUUGUUCCAGGUUUUUAGAGGAAAGUGCCAAAAAAGAGAAAUAUCUCACAAUUGCCAGUAAAUAGUUCUGGAGGUAUUUAUCUAAUUUAGCACUUCAUUCUUGUAUGCUUCCUAUUCUAGUUGUUGCUGUUUUUUCAAAAAAAUUUUUUAGAGUAGCCUGUUUUAAGGUUUUGAAUCCAGGAUUGUCUGUCUCCUUAAUCCUUGUAAACAAAGGCUGAUGAGAAGGAGAAAUAGCUUUUGCAAACAGAUAGAAGUGGCGGAAGAACAGGGCUGGCAGGAGUAAUUUUGCUGCCUGAGGCAGAGGACAAGAUGGUACUCUGUCUUCCAUGUAACUGAAGCCAACGGAGAGGUAGGGCUUGCCCACAUGUGAGUAAUAUGUUACUGCCAAGAUACUCCUUUUACCAUUGAAUUUGCUUUUAGUGGUCCACACAAUGUUCUCCAGUUACAAAGCCAAUGUUUUCUGGCCAUACCAAUGGGAGCUUCAGUGUGUUGGAUCAAUCCUGCUGAAGGUUCAAGUCCGUGGCUCAAAACGAGUGUGUUGCAGGAAACCUGCCCCCCCAAUCAUUUAGUUUGUACAAACUCCACACACACACACACACACACACACACACACACACUCACACAUGACAUACACAAUGUUUCUGUUAUAAAUUCAUAGAAAAUCAACUGUGCAUCGGAUCUACACCGUUCCACUUUAUUUUGCUCCAUAAAGAAAGGACUAUCAAAGGCGGAAGGUUUGAUACAGGGUGGCCAUAAUCCCUUGAGCGUACCAACACGUACUCAGGAGCCCUACCCAGUUGGCAUGCCAACCAUGAUGGUCCCAGAGAGAAGACCAUCAAGGCCACAAAGAACUUGCAUAUGGGAGUGGAUUCAGCAUGGACUGAGACAAAGGACAAUGAUCAGCUCUUCCCUCUGGGGGCAGGAUACUGCAAACUCCCCUUUGUCCUCUGGAAAGUACUCAUGGGGAGGGGGAAAGGAGGGACCAGCCAGGUGACAAGAUACUCAGGUUACCUCCACAACUCCUCCCGUAACCCCUCCUUUUUGUGAUGUAUCAAUGAUGUAGUCAUGAUGUAGUUAUGAUGUAGUCUUAGGGGUGUAACAUGGGGAUUAGUGGCUAAUAAAAGUUGGGGUCUUCUUUUGUUCAGGGCUUCCAUCUUGUUUCACCUGGUGGCAGGUGGGAGUCCUGUCGCGACAGUCUUCAAUAAAGACCAAGCCUACUGGCUGCUAUUUUGCUCUGGUAUUCCUCGCUGGUGUCCUUGUUUUUUGUCCAAGGGAGCCUUCAGAUUUCUCCAUUAACAGUGGGAUGGGGCUGGUGGAGGGGAGCAGCAUGUGGAUUAGGGCCAAGUACUUUGGGGCAAGGAGCUGCAAAUACACAGUAAAUGUUCAGCACAUUUAAUGGACAAGCACAUCAUUGACUAUUCAUUUAAUAGUCUGGCUGUAGAAUAGCAUCCUACCAUGCCACUGGGCAACAGGCCAGCUUAAGGAGUGAUAGGAAGGCAUACUCAGCUCUCUUCCUCCAAACCUCCUUGCUGCUGCCAGCCUCCCAGCACCUGCCACCUGAGGCACUUUGUCUCAUUCUGCCUAAUGCCUAAUGGCAGGGCUAGGCCUGCUGAACAGGCUUGGUAAAGAACUUUCCCUUCUGUGUAGAAUCAACUAGGAAUUUAAAGUAGAAAAAUUCUUCUUCUUUUUUUUCAAAGACAAAGAACCUUACAGUUGAUAAAGCAGAGGAAGCAAAAACUCAUCAGCAACUGAUCAUCUGGAAAAGUCCUAGCAAAAGAAUGGGUAGUUUUUGAUUACUUCUGACAUUUGAGCUGUCAUAGGAUUUUCCAGUUUUAUAUUAAACCAUUCAAGGAAAGGAAACAUUUCUUUGCUCCAGGAUUCCCCCCACCCAUUGAUUUCCAUAUGCAUUUGUCAUGGACCCAUAAUGAGUAAUUUGUGAUUCCUUAAUGCAUAGCAACAGAGCUCAUCUGUGGAGAGGAAAGGAUUAUUAGGCAAUCUGGCACAAAAGAAGGACUGGUUUAAACGAGUUCAAUUAAUGCUGGUGUGAUAGGGGACAUCCGGCUCUGCUCUCAGCAUAGCGGAUGGUCAUGGUGCUAUCUGUUCCUCUAUGAAUCCAGCAGACUGUGGAGCUUGUCCCCCCCCCCUUUCAUGGACUCCUGUUAUUAACAUAUACAGUGGUACCUCGGGUUACAUACGCUUCAGGUUACAGACUCCGCUAACCCGGAAAUAGUACCUCGGGUUAAGAACUUUGCUUCAGGAUGAGAACAGAAAUUGUGCUCCGGCAGCACAGCAGCAGCAGGAGGCCCCAUUAGCUAAAGUGGUGCUUCAGGUUAAGAAGAGUUUCAGGUUAAGAACAGACCUCCAGAAUGAAUUAAGUUCUUAACCCGAGGUACCACUGUACUGCUAUUUUUCUUUCUGUGAUCUUAACAUGUGGGUCACAACUCACCUACCUAGAAAUAUACUUUGCCCCUUCUGAACCCCCGCCUCAAAAAAAAUUCUGGUGCUGCCACUGGCCAUGUUCCUGCCAUGAAACAAACCAGUCUUGUUGUGUGCAAACAGCAUUUGAGGCCUCAGGAGGUCAGUAGCGGCCAGCUAAAGGACCCCUGACCAUUAGGUCCAGUUGUGGCCGACUCUGGGGUUGUGGCGCUCAUCUCGCUUUAUUGGUCGAGGGAGCUGGCUUCUGGUCCCCAACCUGAAGAAAGGAUCUUCUGCUUCUAGUUGCUGCCUUGGAAGAUGUAUCUGAGUGAACUGAGGCUCUUUUGCUUUCUAUCUUUCAGGGAAGGAACAGAAGGAAGCAAGCAGGAGGUUGGGUCAGAUCCCCCGCCAAGGUAAUGAAGGAUGCUUUUAUGCAAAUCUCUCUUUCAUUUCGGGGAGAUUUGCACAGUUGAAGUUCCUGGUGGAUUAUAGUUGUAAUCAGUUUUAAUGCAGCCAUUUCUACUUUCUUUAGUUCCAUGGUCUUAGUUAAAGAUGGAUGGGGCAAUUCAAAAUACACACAACUUUGUGGGAGGCUGAACUGGGUGGGGGUGUAACUUGAAAAAAGAGACAUUGCACAUACUUUUGUAAACCAAGAAAUCUUAAAAAAAAUACUUAAAAUAAAGAAAAGAACAUCACUUCCCUCUCCGUCCACUAAAUGUCCAGGUGAGCAAAAGUGCCCCCUGGCAGGAUCCAUGUUAGCAGCUACAAGAGGAAGGUGUUGGAACAAGUUGUUCCAAGGGCAGGGAGUGGAAGGAGCUAAGAUCCACUGGUUUCACUGCUGUCAAAUGAUGGCAUCAGGCCUGAUCUCACCAUUAUUGCUGAACCAGCUCCAGGUUAGUACAGUAAUCUUCUUGGCCCUCCAUUCUGCCCUGGCCACUGUGUGUCCACCAUUUUGGACAGGUGUUCAUACAAGGCCGUACAUUACUCACACAGAAUUAGCUAAAGGAUUGCAACUGGAAGGUUUUGUCUUACAAGGUGAGGAUGAUGUACUGUAAUGACUGUAAGCUACACAGUGUUUUGUUUUUUGCUGUGUUCAGGGAAACCAGAAAUUAAUCUCUGGUUCCUGUGCGAGUCAAUCUGAUCAGAGAUGAGUGGAAGAGAAAGAAUAAGUACCAACACCAGCUGAUGGAAAAUUCACUGCCUUUUUGUAAUACAAUGGUAAGUGCGUGGGAGAUAUAGGGGCAGGGGAGAAGAGGGCCUCCAGAAUGGGGUCAGAGUCCAAUGAGUCUUGAAAUUAAAUACAGACUGAUAAGUAGGGCUGCCAUAUGUCUGGGUUUCCCCUGAAACGUCUGGAAAUUGGGCUUUGUGAAUGGCGUCUUGGCGGAUUUUUGCCAAAUUGGCAAAAUGUCUGGGAAUUCCCAGAUGUAUGGCAAGUGGGGUGAUGCUUAACAAACAAAAAAGCCGAACAACUUUGUCCGCAUUUUCAAUUUUUGAGGUUUGAUUUUUGCUGCCCAACUCUGCAUGGAACUCUGAGUCCCCUAAUGAUCCUUAAGCAAUAAGUAGCAAGGCAUUUCUGCUUUAACCCAAUAAUUCCACUCUGUUCUCAAAGACCAUAGGAGCACAGGAUGCUGCCUUAUCCUGAGUCAGACCAACAGGCUAUCUAGUUCAGUGUUGUUGACACUGAUUACCAGUAGAUCUCCAGCAUUUUACACAGGCCACUUUCCCAGUUCUACCUGCAGAAGCCGGGGAUUCAAACAGGAAUCAUAUGCAUGCAGAACAGAUGCUCUACAGCUGAGCAAUGGCCCUUAUAGAGAGUCUAGAAAUCAGUGGACGGAUACUAGUCUAAUUCAGAAAAAGUCUAGCCAUUACAUCUUUAUAAAGUGAGAGAUCACUUCUUUUGUUUUUACUUAGGCUGCAGUCCUGUACAUAUUUAGGAGUAAGUCCCGUUGAACAGAAUUGGAUUAACUUGUUUAGCAUUGCACUGCUGUGCAUUUAGCGUCACAUAAGCAGCAAGUAUUUUUAAAAAAUAGCCAUGUUGGACCACUUGACAAAGCAUUAGCAGCAGUAGCAGCUGUAUUUGGUUGCUAGUAUCACAGCAAAUUUUUGGAGCCCAUUAUUCCUCCACUGCCCAUUCUAAUACAGUGGUACCUUGGUUUACGAACUUAAUCCGUUCUGGAAGUCUGUUCUUAAACCAAAGCCAUUCUUAAACUGAGGCACACUUUUCCUAAUGAGGCCACCCGCUGCUGGUGCCCUUCCACCGUUUGGCUUCCAUUCGUAGACCAAGGUAAAGUUCACUAACCGGAACACUACUUCCGGUUUUGCAGAGUUUGUAAACCUAAUAGUUCAUAAACAGGACUGCUCUUAAACCGAGGUACCACUGUAGCUUAAACCGGAUGAAGCUCUGACUAGGCCAGGCUCUGUAGGGAAAGGGUACUGCUCAAAAUGAUUCUGUGUCACAGUCUGCACAGGCCUUUGUCGUGUCCUCACAUUUUGCUUCGCCUUUCAGGUUCACUCAGUCACCUCCCUGCUCAGGUCAAAAAGCGCAGGUGAUGCCAAAGCCUCAGCUUGCCUACAGGAAUGUUUAAUGUCGAGCAAGUUACAGAAGUCCGGAAUGGUGGGCUGGAGGAAGAAAUGUUGAAGGCAGCCGGCUCUGUUUUAAUAACUCCCUGUAACCAAGGUGGGCCACCUUUUCGAGUAAGUCUUGGGAAAGAGGAAAUGAGGUCACCUUGGAAAACAUGGUGGCUGAGAGGAUAUGGCACACAGCCUGGUAAAAGAAGUCACCUCCAUGGUAUCAGAAGCCACAUGAAAGUCUCUGAGAGUGAUGUUAUCUCAAAGUAGUGAGAAGAGGCACCCAGAGGAAGGUUUCUCCAUUCCCUGAAUUCAGGGAGCUACACGCUGUGUACAAAGAUGUUAAUACCAUUUUCUUCAAUGGUAUUUUUUCCAAUAACUCUUUCGUUAUUGGAUCAGAACAGUAAUAGCUAAUUGAUCACACAAAAGGUUUGACAAACUGGGUGAAGUGUAGGUUGCAUUUUCAAUUGCACCCCACAGUAUGAUCACAUGCUUUUGACAAAAUGAAGUUAUUCCAAAUUUAGGCCUAAAGCAUAGGUGGUCUUACAUGCAUGAGCACGGAUGGAUUCUCAAAAUUGCACAUUCCCAAUGUACCCCCUCUCCCUCUCUCCUUGUACAGUACAUGACAAUUCUCUUCCUCCUUUCUUGGUUUGGGCACAAAAUGCUAAGGUAAACUAUGGUUUGGUCUUACACCUAGGUUCUCCAUAUCUUUCUUGUUUGGCUCUGAAACUCAGCUUCCUUAUAUAUAGGAAUGAUACUUGAUAAUUACCUACAGAGAUUAGCAUUGCUCAUCAUGUUCAAAGUAUUGGUAUGAGUCCUGUAAGUAUUUAAACAGCAGUCACAGGUGUAAACCUGGCUUUGCAAUUUUCAAAACAGACAUACAGUUCAGAAAGUCAACUCCUGGAUCAUCCUAUGUUUCCCUCCAUAUCUUCAGGUAGCCUGUCCAAACAAAAUUUAAAGCAGCAAUUGUGGGGCCGUUUGUUGCUCACAGCAGUAGCUGGCAGGAUGCUUUAAACAGUGGGAGUGCACCCUCUUCAUCAUCCUUAUGCUUUGCUCCCCACAAAGGAGGAUUUUGUGCAGCACUACAGAAAUAGUGAAUGAGAUGAGAGUUCGGAUUUCUUAUUCUGGAUUUGGAAAUGCAACAUGAAGAACAAGAGAAAAAACACCCAUUCAGCUCCCAUGCUGAGGUUUCCACCGGCAGGCAUAUUGCAAGACAUCUGGGGUUGCUCCAGAACCUGAGAUGCUUGAUGGGGAUGAAAUGAGCUGAGUAGCUUGGUAUUGUACUCUUGUCUAAACUGUAAGCUUUCUAGGGGAGAUUGACCUUGAUGCAACAGUACAAAUUGUGAACAGCAUCGAAGGCAACUUCAAGAAGUGACUGACAGAAGUUUACCUUUGAGUUUCCUUCUGUGAGCUUCCCAACUUCUCCUUCAACUCUGGGCUUAGAUUUUUUGUUUGUUUGUAAUGACUACAAAGUUCUUUUAAUCAGAUUUCCUUGUCCCUCCUGGAGCAUUUAAUUAAGUCUUUACAACCCCCUGCUCCAUACUCCUAAUGAUGUUUUUCGGUCCGGAAAUAAUGUCUCUCAUCAAGGGGGAGAAAAGUCGCUACUCUGUUGGGGCCUUUUCCAUUUUUGCAGCUGAUUACAAGCAAAAAAAGGAGGACACAGAAGGCACACCUAAUUAGAAAUAGAUUGGGUGAAGGAGCCAGAAAGGCAAUUGCAGGCUUUGAGGAAAGGCUAUGCAAAUGAGGGAGUAGAAGGGUGAGCUGUGAAGGCCGGACAAAGAAGUUUUAUUUACAUGCUGCAACAGGGUCUUUUCAAGCUUGUAGACUGGUACCCUGUGGCAUCUCUUAUGUGGCUUUUCUCCACCUCUCCAUAGGUUGUAGCUCUCUCACACUUUUAUCUGCCUCAUUGAUAUCACACACACACACAAAAUGCAGAUUAAUAACAUGGAAAAAACAUUAUACAAAUUAAGUAAAAGUGCACAAGUUUAAUCUUGGCUAUAGUAAGAAAUCUGCUUUAUAUUGACCACUUCUGGUGAGAUAGCUCCAAGGCAUUUUCUUAGAAUAAGCUUCCUUAUAUAAUCAGUUUGUUGAUCAAUUCUUUGUUGAUCAAUAUUUCGUUUGGAUUUUUGAGCAGAGUUAGUUUUAAAAUCAAACUACAACCGGAUGUGAACUAAUCAAUAGUGGUAAUAAAAAUAUAGCUGUCAACUAAAAUAGAGAUUGCCUAUAACAGGCAUAAAUUUACAACACUAUCAAUAGAACAUGGAGAAUUGCCAAAAUGGCAAAGAAAACAGAAUACCUGUAUAUAAUGAUAGGCAGCUUUGAUAAAUCUUGACUUCAUGUACUGACAUCAUGAAAAUGAGUUCAAUUUGUUAACAUAUAUAAGCGUUUUCCGUUGUCUACUUCAUUAUCUUGUAUUUGUAAUGUUGUAUAAUCAGUGUCUUUUUCUUCUUUUGUACUCCUGCAUUUGAAAGAAUGACUAAAAAGAGACGUGAAAAAAGGAG